CAAGCCUUAUAAUUUUCCGUACACUGGCGGAGGAGGUACUUUUCCCAAAACUAUUGGUCCUAAAGACAUCAGUCAGAGUGUGGAGAGAAUGAUCACACAAACAUGCUUGUCUGGCUCUCAACAACGGAGGAGUGGUCGAUGGCGUGCGGUGAAUCGCGAGAAGUGUACUGAACAUGGUUCGGUGUUAGUGCUCCAGGAGGAAGUAUGAAGGCAUUUGAUUCCAGUAAGACUGAUGAUGAGGAACAUUUGAUGACAAGCAGGACUCUUUACCUUCUUCUGCUGGGAGUGAGAAAUCAUCAGGGUCAUCCUGAACUUCCAGACAUGUGGCUGGUACCCAACCCUGAGCGUCCUCAGUGCUGACAAACCACCAACCUGAGAAAUCAGACAGAAAAAAAAGAAAAUCAGAGAGGAGGGUCUUCAGGACGCGUCUCAAAGAACACACGAACCUCCUCGCAUUGGGAAAUAUACACCGGCAGCUGGAUCAGGGCCUGAGGGGAAAAUAUACACAAUCACUUGCUAAUGUGACACAUUCAGAAGCGUAAGUUGUUGAUAAGUUAGUCAUUGAAUUUCUGAAAAAAUUAUGAAGCAAACCAAAAGUAGUUGUUUAGAUUAAAAUCUGUUUUUUUUCUACACACUUUUACCACCUAAAUGCUUUCUUUAUAGCACGGCAUGCAAAGUGUCACAUAAAAACAGCGACACAUAUACACUAAACAGCAACUGGAAGUCAUGCAUUUCUUUAGUUUUUAUUCUCAUGAUUUAUUUGAACGCAUAACACUCUUAAAUGCAUAAUCACGGACGUCACGCUGUGAAUGUCAACGCUGUGCUUUCAUAUCAGGGCAUGCCAUGAGGGCAGAUGGGCUGUGUGUUUUACUCUGCACUGAUGGCAAGCCGUUUCUGCUUUAUCAACUGCACUUCAGACCCAGUCCCACAUCUAAUAAAGCUGCAUGUGCCUCCUGGCUGACAGAAGAUGCUUUUUGCCAUUGUAUAUUUUGGCAGAGGAGCUUUAAUUUAAUAAAGCUGAGUGCUGCUUCAGUGUCCUUCAGACGGACGUCCCUCUGAGUUAUGACAGCUGACCUGACUGGAAUAUUAAAAUUCACACGCUCGGACGCAUCUGCUCAAGGUGCCCGUUUCUAACCUGGCUUUUAAACAGAGCCUGGGCCAUUUUUUCACAAUUGCUUUUGACUCUCCAAUUACUCUAGCAAUCGCACGUUUGCCCAAUGCUCAAUUUUCUUAAUGAAAAGGGUGUUUUGAAUGUGCUUGUUUUAUUAAGAUAAGGGACGAGGCUGAUGACUGGUCUAACUCUCGGCUUUUGUUUGCUUGAAGAUUGGAUGGAUACGGAUCUUAUUCAUGUCGGUUUCCAUGGAUAUCACGGAUGUGCACAGAUUGAUGCCUCCCCAGGGUUCAAUACCUGACCUCCCGCUCAUUAGCAUUCCCUGAAGACACUGGUAUAUGGAGGCCAAUUAUAGUAAAUGCACUCUAUUGGGUGGGUGCAUUACCUUGAUUGUUUUAUGUGUGUGUGUGUGUGUGUGUGUGUGCGGGAGAGAGAGACAGAGAGAAAGAGAUGAAUGUUCGUCUAUUUCGCCACAGAAGGGCAUGCACUAUGUUCAUAAAGGUACAGGUUAUUGUUCACUAUACAGUACUAUUUAAAUAACACCAAAUUCUGCGAGUGGCAUCGAGUUGUGUAUCCGAAGUUUAAUCCUAAGAAGCCUACUAUAUAUGUCUAUAAAUGAUCAACACUUCCAAAGACUUGCUGUCUGAUUGAAAGUUCAUUACUAGCAUAUUGACUGUUUAUUAGUACUUAUAAAGAAGAUAUUAAUGCAUGAUUAUAUUAAUCUCUUAUCCCAACCCAAUACCUAAACAUAACUAUUACCACAACUAUCUUACUAUCAAUAAACAUCAAAUUAAGAAUUUAAAUCAAGGGAAAACUCUUAAUUAACUGUGAAUCAAUCCUCAAUCUAAUGUGUUACCAGUAAAGGUAAGAAUAACUUUUUUCCCCACAAUUUACUUGAUUAUUCAUAAUUCAUUUUUUUUCGUUUGAGGAACAUUUAUUUGUUUGUUUUUCAAUCAUCGUUGUAUUAUAUUGUACUGCAUUAUAUAUUUUGCCCCCACAAUAAAAAACAGAUAUUUGAUCAUAAAACUAAGCAUUUAAAUAUCAUCUUACUAUAUUACUGUAAGUAUAGUGUAGUAGAUACAUAUUACUGGGAGAUACCGAGUCACAACUUUUAUUCAUUUCAUUUUACGUAAGUAUCUGCUAUACUGUUAGAAAUAUUUCAUUGAAUUACAUUACAAGCAUCUUAGUUUUGGCCAUAUGAAUAUUAGAAUCUGCACCAAAUUUAAUAUAUUUUUGCUCAAUUUGGUCUUCUGGAUAAAAUUGUGUUAAAGUAUGAACUCCAUAUUUUCCUAUAUCAUACUAUAUGAGCCAUGAAGCCAAAUUUAUCUCAACAAAUCAAUUUAUACUCAAAAAACAAACAACAACAACAAAUAAAAGUAAAAAAAAAAAUAAUAAUAAAAUUCAAAUUAUUUAUGCAUGUACCCAAAUAUGCAUGUUUGUUUGUUCAAUAAACUGGUCCAUUUCAUUAGACUUUCAUGACUUCUUUCAUAUGUCAGGCUUUACAGGGCUAAAUGGUUAUUUUCAUGCAAACCCCAAAAAAUUAUUUAAAAUAUAUUUUUUGAAUUUUUUUUUUUUUUUUUGCCAGUCUGACCAACAUGAGAGAUGUGUUGAGUCUAAAGGACAGGUCCAGCACAUUGUAUUUGUGGGAAACGACCAUGUUUUUUUCCUAACGUGUUCACCCUUUAAAAAAUAAAAUAAAAUUCAGAUUUUCAAAAAAAAAAAAAUUAUUGCUAAUAUGCCUUAUUUUCAAGCCAAAAUAACCUCUGGAGUACUAUCGGUUUCCAUUUUCCCAACAAAACAAAUAUCUUAAUGGCAUUUCUGACCUUUCACCUCAAUUAAUAUAGAACUGCUCCAGCAUUUAAAAAAGAAACAGGUCAGCUGACGCUUAUUAAUUCACUGCUGUUAAUGCACAUGACUGCAGUAUGUAUCACAUGACCUGAGUGAAAAUCAAUGGCUUGAGCAUCAUGAGAUUCCAGUCCUCUUUGGACCUCAUGGAUGCGUUUGUGUGAAUGAUACAUUGAAUAUUAUUGUCAAUUGAAUUGAAUAUUGUGUCUCCCUGUUAUAGUGCUUUUUAUUUUGAAAAGCAAAAAUAUCCAUUUUACUAUUUGACAACUUGGCUUAAUAAUAGGUUAUCACCUGCACUGAAAAUACAUAUGCCUACUCUUUAAAUAUAUACUAGAUGAAAAGCAAUGUGUGAAAAGAUUAGUAUGUCUGGAUUCGUAGUAUUCAAAUUCUAUGGAAGCCAAUUUCAGCCAUGGGAUAAAAAUAAAAAAAUAUAAAAAGGCAAUUGCAACUUUUUGUCUCUGACUUUUUUUUUUUUUUUUCCAGAACUGUGAGAUAUAAACUUGCAAUUGUGAGUUAUAAUGUCAGAAUUAUAUGAUGUUUGUUUGUAAAAAAAAAAAAGUCAUUGUAACACGCAAUUCCAAGUAUAUAAUCACACAAUUCUGACAUCGUAACACAUGAUUGCAACUAUUUAUCAUGCAAUUCUGAGAAAAACAAAGUCAGAAUUGUGAGAUAAAAAGUCACAAUUAUCUUUUUAGUUUUUAUUCAAUGGUGAAAACAAUUUUGAAUGCAACUCAAGAGAAAUUAUGAUAAUGUUCCCAGCUCGACUCCGAAUCUCUUACAAGGGAGACAACAAGGAAUUUUUGGACCCGGAGAAAGCAACGGCCUACGACAUGAAGUCCACGAUUCAAGGUGAGGAAACCACAGUGACUGCAACACCAUUCUACAACUUUCUUUUUGGACUUUGCCUUUUUCGUAUUUUGACAGAGAUCAGUGCUUAAGACUAUGAGACUCUUUCUAAUUCAUCACCCAGCUGGAUAUGCCUUGGUCUCACAUUACAGAUCUUUCGAUAUACAUCUUACUUUUUGUCCUCCUUGGAAGAUGAGAGUGCAGAGAUGGCAUUUACUCCAUUUCAACAGUUAUAAGAGACAUUGUGACUUUUGGUGUAAAUAAGUGACAUGACAUGUGUAAUUGGUGUUCUUAUGGAUGUAUAUAUAAAAAGACAUUUAUAAUGUUCCGCUGAUGCUGUUCACUGUUAAUACAAUGUGUUAUUUUUUCUUUUACAACUGGGGCUAGACAGGGGCUGGUUUAUUAGACACUAAAGUGGUUCUCCUUUGCAAAAUGUGCCAUAAGUUCUUUAUGGCAAUGGAUGUUAUAGCCACCAGGUUAAUUUAGGUGGCUUGGGUUUGGGACUCCUUUUGUUAAUUCAAAAUUCCACCGUCUUGAUUUGUGGGGUUGUGCUCUCAGUGUUUUGUUUACCAAGUUUCCUAACGGCUAACACCAGCUCGAUGGGAAAUGCAGAGCACAUGAUUAAUUUUAUUAGUUGGAAUGUAAAAUCUUUAAAUCAUCCUGUGAAACGGAAAAAGACACUCUUGCACCUUGACUAUUUGAGGGCUGACAUAGCGUUUCUCCAGGAAACCCAUCUCCGGGUAGCAGACCGGACUGACAGGAGGAUGGAUAGGGCAAACAUUUCAUUCCAGUUUUAAUUCCAAGACGAGGGGGGUAGCAAUUACAAUGCGAAAGAACAUACCAUUUGUAAUGUCUAACAUUAGCUGUGUCUGAAAUCACUAAUCCCUAUAUAGAGUAAGGCAGCCGAGUGCACUAUAUUAGAAAGGAGUGAACGAAAUGAAGUGAACGGAUUCGGACGGUGACGUGUACACUGUGUGUGAGACUUGGCUGUUGCAAAAACAUCUUAGUCACAUAUGUACUUUUAUAUUACAUGUACCUCAUUUUAGAAAAUAAUAUUAAUAGCAAUACAACUUAAAAUGACUUUAUAUUGUAAUCAGCUUUGUGGUUUCAUUGAUGGUAUAUUAUUAAUUUGUUUUGUAUACUAUUAAAAUGUUGUCAACAAAAAUAAACUCACAUUAGCACGUUAAUAAUUGUAUGCAUUUAUUGUUUGUAGUGUUUUAUUUGCCAUUGCAAUCAAGCCACUGGCAGUUUCCAUACGGCAAGAGUCAUUUAUUAAAGGAAUUCGUAGAGGAGAUAUAGAGUGUAAAAUUUCGCUCAAAGCAGAUGACUUAUUAUUGUAUUUAUCAGAUCCAUUGCCAGGUCUAUAUAAAUUACUGAACAUGUUGGAAAAAUUUAGUAGGAUAUCUGGCUAUAAAAUACAUUUUCAAAAAUCGAGCUAAUGUCAAUCAAUGCGGCUGCCAAAUGUAUCGCUUUCAAUUCAGUUGCCACAAAAAAAUUAAAAAUAAUAAUAUUUAGUAAUCUGGGCUACACAUAAUUAUAAGGACCUCUAUAAAGCUAACUUCCUGCCCUUGAUAGAAAAUCUGAAAGAGGAUAUCAAACGUUGGGAUCUGCUGGAAGAAUUAAUACUAUUAAGAUGAAUGUAUUGCCCAAGUUUCUUUAUUUGUUUCAAAAUCUUCCUAUUUUUAAUACUUUUUUAACUCCAUAGAUAAACUCAUAUCAGCAUUCAUCUGGAAUAACAAAAAUUAUCAGAUUCGGAAAAGUAUAUUACAAAACUUCCCAAUUUUAUGUUUUAUUAUUGGGCGGCUAAUAUUAGAGGACUGACUUGCUGGAUGAAGGAUAGCGAUAGCCCUGACGCCUUUAAGUGGCUUAGUUUGGAAAAGAUCUCCUAUCCUCCCUAUCCUCUUUAAUGUGCUCUGAACAUCCAAUGAAUGAACCUGCCUCACGCUAUUCUUCUAACCCUAUGGUGACACAGUCCCUAAAAAUUUGGAAUCAAUUUAGAAAUUCGUUUGCCCUCCGCAGUCUCUCUCUACAUGCCCCCUUAAGAAAAAAACAUGUUUUUGCACAAUUUUGGACACAGAAGGCCACCAAAUGGGAUUUAAAUAUUCCAUGGAGGGAUUUAUAAAAUAUUUAAAUAUAAAUACGGUGGGUAACUCGAAGCGAGGGUUUACAGAUCACAAUGCAAGCGGGAGAAGUCUCAUGUUACGGUCGGUCAUCACGAUCGUGGAUCAACACUGUUCAUGAAUCACAGGCUACGAUUAAAUUAAUGUACAUUUAACCAGUUUAAUAUGG